AUAUCAGUCAUGCAUAGCAUAUCAAUAAGCGGAGGAAAAGAAACUAACAAGGAUUCCCUUAGUAACGGCGAGUGAAGCGGGAAGAGCUCAAAUUUGAAAUCUUCAAGGUUUUACCUUGACGAAUUGUAGUUUAAAGAAGUGUUUUCUGUUGAAGUUUUGGUAAAAGUUCUUUGGAAUAGGACAUCAUAGAGGGUGAGAAUCCCGUAUUUGACCAUUACUUUCAGCUUUGUGAUACACUUUCAAAGAGUCGGAUUGUUUGGGAAUGCAGUCCAAAAUGGGUGGUAAAUUUCAUCUAAAGCUAAAUAUUGGCGAGAGACCGAUAGCGAACAAGUACCGUGAGGGAAAGAUGAAAAGAACUUUGAAAAGAGAGUUAAACAGUACGUGAAAUUGUCAAAAGGGAAGCGUUUGACACCAGUGUUGUUUUCUCGAAAAUCAAUUAAAAAGAGUUGGAUUUUGUGUUGUAUUGACUUUAUCAGCUUUCUUCACUCUUUUCCAGCUUUUUUUAAUGCACUUUUCGUUUAACAAGUCAACAUCAGUUUCUUUUGUUGUAAAAAGGUCAUUGGAGGGUGGCUUUCUCUUCGGAGAAAGUGUUUAUAGCCUUUGACUCAUGCAAUCGGAGAGACUGAGGUCUGCAGCGUAGAUCCUUCGGGGUUAGAUACAUUUGUGCUAAGUUAUAGCUUUUCAUAGACAACUUGUUGACUAUGUUUAGUCUUGUAGCUUACUCGCUUAUGCUAUUUUACCUACGCUUAGGAUGUUGAACUCUAUCACACACAG
rnacentral:rRNA from 1 species